AUGGCUCAGGACAUGGCGUUCACCGGCUCUGCCCAGAUGCCAGCCCUGCACACCAAGCAGCAGCUGCUGAUCACCACGCUGAGAUACCCACGUCUUGGCACAAGGAGACCACACAUGCUGCACAGCAAAGCUCCGCACUCCAUGCACAAGGGUCAGACAGGAGGAGCUGGCCCAGCUGAGCUGUCAGCCAUUCAGGAUAGAAACUGAAGGAGCUGCACCUGACCUUUCCACCUACAUGUUUGAUUGUGCUCAGCAUUGCUUGGGUGGGAGAAAUAGGUUUCAUUUGAAGGACACACUACUCAUGAGGGCUAGAAUUGUCUGAAGUUCAGCACGAGUUGUUGCUCAUAUGCCAACAAAGGCUGGCCCAGGUGCAGAGAGGAGGCCCUCCUCCCAUUUUAGGGAGCCAAGAGAACCAGGCACCAAAAGGCACAAAACAGCAACCACACUGUUCCUCUGGAGUAACAAAGACCUAAACAAGAAAGCAAGUUAAAGGCCUGUCUUAAAACUGCCACACGCAGUGCUGACUGCAGUACAAAACUCAAUGAAGUUGGACAUCAGACGGAACAACACACAGUUCAGAUUCAGCUUCAUUAAACAAUGCAUAAGUACAUUUGUCACACAUGAAAUUAUAUACUUCACUUGUAUGAGAGAAGCAGCAAUAUAUUUAUUGAUAUAAGGUAGUGAACUAACAAAGCUUAGUUGUAAAAAAGACAGCAACUUACGAUUAAGUAACAAGGUACACUUGAUUAUUUACUGCAUUGAGGACAUGCAAGUCAGGCAUGUCUGGGAGACCCUCCCAUUGAGUUCAUGAACCAUGAGAUUCAGAGUGGACCCCCUUGCUUUCUAAACCCCUUGAACCAAAGAGGUAAGGAGCUUAGGUGCGGCUGAAUCCACUCCUAGUCCCAGACUUGGUCAACAGCAUCCCAACAGGAACAAGUCACAGUGAGACCAGUACUGUUAUCCAUUCCUUAAUCAUGCUUAUACAUAUCUGCUUUCCUACCUCCU
rnacentral:lncRNA from 1 species